rnacentral:tRNA from 1 species
AAGGUUUUAGGUUAAAUAAACUAGUAAUCUUCAAAAUUAUCCAUAAAGAAAUUUCUUUAAGCCUUA